rnacentral:rRNA from 1 species
AGCGUAUAUUAAGUUGUUGACAGUUAAAAGCUCGUAGUUGAAUUUCGGGUUUAUCCGUUGGUCGGGCUUUGGGUCUGUACUGGCGAGAUGGAUUCCUACCUUCUGAAUAACCAGCAUGUCAUUAAUUUGGUGCGUUGGGAAGCAGGACUGUUACCUUGAAAAAUUAGAGUGCUUAAAGCAGGCUAUUGCCUGAAUACAUUAGCAUGGAAUAAUGAAAUAGGACGCAUGGUUCUAAUUUUGUUGGUUUCUAGGAUCACCGUAAUGAUUAAUAGGGAUAGUUGGGGGCAUUAGUAUUCAAUUGUCAGAGGUGAAAUUCUUGGAUUUAUUGAAGACUAACUACUGCGAAAGCAUUUGCCAAGGAUGUUUUCAUUAAUCAGGAACGAAAGUUAGGGGAUCGAAGACGAUCAGAUACCGUCGUAGUCUUAACCAUAAACUAUGCCGACUAGGGAUCGGAUGAUGUUAAUUUUUUAAUGACUCAUUCGGCGCCUUACG